AUUGAACGCUGGCGGCAGGCCUAACACAUGCAAGUCGAACGGUAACAGGAAACAGCUUGCUGUUUCGCUGACGAGUGGCGGACGGGUGAGUAAUGUCUGGGAAACUGCCUGAUGGAGGGGGAUGACUACUGGAAACGGUAGCUAAUACCGCAUAACGUCGCAAGACCAAAGAGGGGGACCCUCGGGCCUCUUGCCAUCGGAUGUGCCCAGAUGGGAUUAGCUUGUUGGUGGGGUAACGGCUCACCAAGGCGACGAUCCCUAGCUGGUCUGAGAGGAUGACCAGCCACACUGGAACUGAGACACGGUCCAGACUCCUACGGGAGGCAGCAGUGGGGAAUAUUGCACAAUGGGCGCAAGCCUGAUGCAGCCAUGCCGCGUGUAUGAAGAAGGCCUUCGGGUUGUAAAGUACUUUCAGCGGGGAGGAAGGGAGUAAAGUUAAUACCUUUGCUCAUUGACGUUACCCGCAGAAGAAGCACCGGCUAACUCCGUG
rnacentral:rRNA from 1 species